rfam:Schistosoma haematobium scaffold718_17, whole genome shotgun sequence.
AUCCGGCUGACGAGUGCUAAAUAGGACAAAACGCGCGUCCUUGAU